GAGUUUAUGUGGCUCGGAGCUGAUUCCCUGAAGGAUUUAUGGCUCUGUAUUAAAUGCCACAGCCUUAUCUUUUAAAACAUGCUGCUCUAAUGCUGAGUUUUCCUCUUUUUUUCUUUUCUUUCUUUUUUUUUUUUGUUACUGAUUUUAGAAACAGUAUUAAGCACCUUGUUGUUUUGUUUCUGUUUUCAAGGAAUGCAGAUUCUACUAAGAUCUCCUUGCAAAAUGAAUGCAUUUAAUUUUCCCUAUGUGUUUUUCCUCUGCAGGUAGUUUUCCCAAGAGUGGCUCAGGUUUGUAAGAAUGAUAUGGGAGGAUCUCAAAGAGUCCUGGAGAAACAGUGGACGUCGUUCCUGAAGGCGCGCUUGAACUGCUCAGUUCCUGGAGACUCUCAUUUUUAUUUCAACAUUCUCCAGGCAGUUACAGAUGUGAUUCGUAUCAACGGGCGUGAUGUUGUCCUGGCAACGUUUUCUACACCUUAUAACAGCAUCCCUGGGUCUGCAGUCUGUGCCUAUGACAUGCUUGACAUUGCCAGUGUUUUUACUGGGAGAUUCAAGGAACAGAAGUCUCCUGAUUCCACCUGGACACCAGUUCCUGAUGAACG
rnacentral:sRNA from 1 species